GGCGUUUUUCUUUGCCAGUCUUUACCACGCUCAGCAGGAGGGGUAGUGCCAGUGCACCAAGCAACAGAAGAGAAAGAACAGGACCAGUCAACACAGUCACUAGAACUUGGAUUUCCUGAUGACGAUGACGACUCUCCUCAACCAGAAGUUCUUUCCCCCUCCCAACCCAGUGCAAUGGCUCAGGCGGCCAGUGGGGGCUACGAAAUCCCUGCUCGGUUACGCACCCUUCACAAUCUAGUCAUACAGUAUGCGUCCCAGGGCCGGUAUGAGGUGGCAGUGCCACUGUGUAAACAGGCCCUCGAGGACUUGGAAAAGACCAGUGGCCACGAUCAUCCAGAUGUAGCCACAAUGUUAAAUAUACUUGCACUUGUAUACAGGUAAGUUACACAGAGGAUU